rnacentral:misc_RNA from 1 species
AAGUCGUGACAAGGUCUCCGUAGGUGAACCUGCGGAGGGAUCAUUACUGAGUUAGGGAGCAAUCCCGACCUCCAACCCUUUGUGAACGCAUUAUGUUGCUUGGGGGGAUGACGCUGUCGAAAAUUUACAGUAGCCCCCCCAGGCCAUCAAAACACUGCAUUCUUACGUCGGAGUAAAAGUUAAUUUAAUAAA